GGUGCCCUGCUCCUUCACUGUUGGUGGGAAUGUAAAUUGGUACAACCACUAUGGAGAACAGUAUGGAUGUAUCUCUGAAAACAAAAUGUAGAACUACCACAUGGUCCAGCAAUCCCACUCCUAAAUAUAACACUACCAAUACCAAUACCUAUCUCAGAACUCUUGCAAAUUCAAAUUCUAUGUGGCAGACAACUGUUACUACCUGGAGAUAGCAGCAGAUGCCAUGGGUUAAGGGCUCAGUCCCACAAGACACUCCCCUCCACUUUAUUUUAUUUUUUUAGGGCUGCACAUGUGGCACAUGGAAGUUCAUGUGCUGGAGGUUGAAUACGAGCUUCACCUGGAGUCUAUGCCACAGCCAUAGCAACACUGGAUCUGAAGUGUAUUAUGAGCCUACACCGCAGCUUGUGGCAAUGCCAGAUCCUUAACCCACUGAGUGAGGCCAGGGAUCAACCCUGCAUCCUCAUGGAUACUAGUUAGAUUCUUAACCUGCUGAACCACGAUGGGAACUCCCACUCGCCUCCACUUUAGAUGACCAUCUCAAGUCCAGGUUGUUGCUGGUGUCUCUGACCAACUGGCUGUAGAUUGCAAGUUCCAGUGACCACCUCUAUGGUUUGAUUAAUUUGCUAGAGUGGCUCACAAGACUUGGAGAAACAUUUCAUUUACUAGAUUACCAGUUUGUUGUAAAGGGAUAUAACCUAGAAACGGUGAUGCUUAGGGCAAGGUAUGUGGAAAGGGGCUUACAGCUUCUUUGCUCUCUUUAGUCUUGUCACUCUCCCUGAAUCUCCAUGUAUUCACCAACCUGGAGGUUCUCUGAAUCCUGUCCUUUUGGGGUCUUGUGGAGGCUUCAUAACAUAGGUACAAUUGAUUAAAUCAGUGGCCGCUGGCUCUUGAUCCAGGCUCCAUCCCCUCUCAUCUCCAUGAUCUUUCUCAUUAUGGCUUAUUUCACUUAUGACCUCCAGAAUCAUCUAUGUUGUUACAAAUGGCAGAAUUCCUAAUUUUUUUAAAUGGUGGCAUAAUAGUCCAUUUACACCCCCCCACACACAUUUUAUUUCUCCAUUCACCCAUUGAAGGACAUUUAUUUCCAUAUUUUGGCUGUUGUGAGUAAUCCUGCAGUAAGAUGGGGGUACUGAAAGUGCCAACCCUUCAGUCAUGUGGAUGGUUCUCCUGGCAACCCGCCCCCAUCCUUAGAUGCUUUCCAAAAGUCACCUCAUUAACACAAACUCAGGUGUAGUUGAAAGGGGUUUAUUAUGAACAUCAAGACAUGUUUAUUGAUUGCUCUUAUCAUUUGGGAAUUUCCAAAUGUUUUAUGAGCUCUGUGCCAGAAAUGAGGAAGAAGAUUAAAUAUAUAUUUCUUGUUAUAGGUCACACUAUCACAAUUAGUAAGGACAAAAAGAGUGGGAAAUGAGGUGUAUUAGAGAAGCCUAGUGGUGCAUCUAUAGGAUAUCAGAUAAUCUUGGAAGUUUGCAUUUCUAAUUGAGUUGAGACGACUGGACAGGUAAGGUAUUAUGAGAUUCAUCCUAAGGUCAGAAUGUGUAGUAUAUUGUUAAAACCUAAGAAUUUUUUAACUUUAUAGAGGAAUAAUUGACAAAUGUAUAUAUUUAAAGAAUACAAUGUGAUGACUUGAUGCAUAUAUACAUUGUAAAAAUAUCACUAGGAUAAAGAUAAUAAACAUAUCCAUGACCUCAAGUAACACAGGUCACUGUUUUGUGUGUAUAUGAGGUGAGAAUGCCGAGGAUGUUAUGCACAACACAGUGACACACUCUCUCUCUCUCUCCAUAUAUAUAUAUAUAUAUAUAUAUAUAUAGUGCAAAAUGAUGACCACAGUAAGUCCAGUUAACAUUUGUCAACAUACAGUUACAUUUUUUUCACUGAGAAGUUUUAAAAUUUGCUUUUUAAAGCAACUUCCAAAUAUACAAUUAUUCACUAUAGUUACAAUGCUACAUGUUAGAUGAGAACUUUUUCUUCUUAUAGCAGAAAAUGUGUGCCCAUUACCCUACAUCACUCUAUUUUUCCCUUCCCCCAGCCCCUGGCAACCACCAUUCUAUUCUCUGUUUCAGUGAAAUCAGCUUGCUUUUUUUAGAUUCCACAUAUAAAUUAUAUCAUGUAGUAUUUGUCUUUCUCUUUCCAGCUUAUUUUCCAUAGCAUAAUACACUCCAGAUGCAUCCAUGUUAUUGCAAGUGACAGGAUUUCCUUCUUUUUUUAAUGGCUGAAUAAUAUUUUAUUGUGUAGGUAUGUAUAUGUUUCAUAUAUAUACAUAUAUAAAACAUCUUUAUUGUAUAUGUAUAUGUGUUUUAACAUCUGUGUAUCCAUUGAAAGACAUUUGGGUUGUUUUCAUAUCUUGGCUAUUGUGAAUAAUGCUGCAACAACAUGGGGGUGCAGAUUUCUCCUAAAGAUUCUGAUUUCACUUCCUUCAGAUAUAUACCCACAUAUAUCAUAUGCUGGAUCAUAUGAUAGUUUUUUGUUUGUUUUUGUUUUUUCUAGGAAUCGCCAUACUGUUUUCCAUAGUGGAUGUACCAGUUUACAUUUCCACCUGCAGUUUAUAAGGGUUUCCUUUUCUUAACACUCUGACGAUGUAUGUUUUGUCUUGUCUUCUUGAUGAUAGCUUAUUCUAACAAAUAUGAGGUGAUAUCUCAUGUGGCUUUGAUUUUCAUUUCUCUGAUGAUUAGUGAUGAGUAGUGGAGUGAGACUAAUUUUAUAAGAAGCACCAGACACUUUAAGUGUAAAGACAAGGUCAAAAGUAAAAGGAUGGAAAGAGAUACACCAGGCAGGUGUUGACUUCUUUCAUUUUCUAAUCCAGCUUAUUUGUUUUUUCACCAUAUAUAUGUUUAACACCUAAUAGGUGUAAGGCACCAUCUUAAGUACGAUGAUGUAUAUAAAAAAUCUAGAUAUUUGAAUUUUCUAUUAUUUUGAAUUUUAGAUAGGAAAAUUUAAAAGUGGUAGGGUAUUUUCACAUAAGUAUUUGUUCCUUAAAAUUCUUAUUCUUCACAGAAAAAAGCCAACUUGUACAACCCAACUGUCCAGUUAAUUGUCUUUUUGUAGUUAUAUCUACUAGAAAAAAUAGAAUAGUUUUAAUUAUAGUGGUAGGCAUCAGUAGUCUUUAGUAAAUCCUUUAAUCCUGUCUAUGUCUUUAUAAGGAAGAGUAUAACAACAGUAAUAUUUUAUAUAUACUCUGAGUAAAAUAUUUGUCUCAAUCCUUGUGAUUUAGUCAUUAAUUCUUUAAUUUUAUUACUUUAGAAAUCAUGUCACCUCUACUUUAUUUUUGAAUGGGGAAUUGAAUCUGAUUUUUCCUCUUGAGUCUAGGAUGUUAUUCUCAACAUGUGGUGAAUCCCUGUUAGAAAUCAAUAAAAGCUUCACUAGAUGUUUCUUAUAGAGAAAACUAAUUUUCUUUUCUUAACCUUCUUCACUUUAUUAUCAUCAGAAUAUAAUUCAGAGAAAGGAUUGUAAUGUAUGUUGACAGGGCCUUCCUGCAGAGAGGGCGUUCCAGUUGACUUGCUGAUUUCCACAGGAAAAUGCCUUGCCUAGUGCAUAAUUCAGUUUUCUGUGUGAGCACUGUUGCAGUGCUAUUACAGGUGCUAUUUAAGGAAGUGAUAGACUGUAAAUGCUAUCAUAGUUCUAAUCGGACAUAGCAUCACUUGCAAGAAAUGGCAGGACUGGGUGGAUGUAAUCCAGCGUAGCUAAGUUCUGACAGCUGUCACUUCAGAGAACUAUCAGUCGUUACUUUUGGGAGACCACUGAGCUUCUAAGAUAAGGAGAACUGAAAUGAUUCACAGGUAAUUCAAAUGGAUGCAUUUAAUGUACUCAGUUUGAAGCGUUUAUUUUGGCUUCCUUGGUGUCUCUCCUCUCCCUUUUUUUUUUUUUUUUUUUUUUUUACAGUUUUUUCUUGGGUUCUGGGUAUGAAAAAAAAGGUGAGAAGAAAUUGAGUCUUUGCAUUUUGCAAAAGGCCAAUGUCUAAUUUUUAUUUUGAAGGACCUCAGAUAAAACCGUUUAAUCUUAACAACUCCAUGCUUUAUAAAUGAACAAAAUGAUUUUCUUUCAGCUAUUCUGUUAAUAAUAUUUUCAAAUGAUGAAAAAAACCCUCACUGAGUGAAUACAUGUUCAUUUUGCUGUUGCCAAAGAGACGUGAAAUAAAGCAGUAAUGGGUGGGCCUCAGCUGAACCAUGAUGUGGAUGAGGUUUUCCCCAGGGGCCUCACACAUCCCCUCUCUUGCCCUUUCUCCUAUUUCCUGGGCCUCAUUCUCCACCUGUUCUUACUUCCAGAUAUGUAAGGCUCUCAGGCAGCUCUGCAGUCAGGGCUUCUCCCAGCUCUGCCUGCCAAGGCCCUCCAGCCUCAGGCAGUGCAUCACGCCGGAGUUUGGUCUUCCAACCAGUCAUCUAAACUAAACAAAAACAGACACCUAAUCUUACACACUGGAUCCCAACUAGCUGCCGCUGCUGGAAGUGAGUGCCACUCUUGGAACUCAGUCUUAUUAUGGUAUUGGUGCACUGUUAAUGCUUAAUAUAUUAUUUCUCCCAAGGUUGCUGGCAUUUUGAUAAGCAACUCCUAAUGGCCAUUUGCAUUUAAGGCAAAGGAAUGAUUAUCCUAAAUUGGGAAUUUCAGGCAUGUUUAUGGUCUAGUUGGUCUAAGAAGGGGGCAGCUUCUGUGUUUUCUCUGGGGCAGACAAAUCCCCUUCUUUCCUGACUUUCUUCAUAUCUUGCUUCUUCAGUAGAGUGUUUGAGAAAUCCUCCCUCAUAGCCAGGCUGUCAGGGGCUUACAUUUCUCCUGUGAGGUCCCAGGUUUGGCCGGUUUGCAGCCAUUCCCACCAGUUCUAGGAGGGACCCCCCUUGGAUACAGCCCUAAUCCAGAUUUGGUCCUCCUACCAUCUCCAUACCACUUGGCCCUUCUGGGGCCACAUUCCUUCUGCCUUGUGAUAGAACUUUGUUGCCUUCCAUCUGGCAUUGCUCCUGAAUGCUAUAUCUGUAAUAUGAACAUACUCUGUGACUAUUAACAAAUCCUUGGUGUUGCUGAUUCUUCUCCCAGGUUUUCUUAUUUUUCUACUCCUUUUCUCUCUAGCUCUGGUUCUCUGUCUCUCACUGUCCUGCAUUGUCAACUCUGCCCUGUAGAUACUGUUACCAACAGUGGAGUUACAAUACAGAGCCUGGUAAGUACAUGACACAAAACACUUGUUAGUAAAGGAAGAUUCAUGAUUUGAACCUUGGUUGUCUUGCAGAGUGUACUCAUUUCACUCUAUCACAGAUGCAUAACCCUUCCUCCCCUCACCCACGGUCUUCAUUUUUCUAAGAUGAAAAAUGUCAGCCCUCCUAGGAUAGGAUUACUAGAUUCUUCGUCAUUCUGACCAUUUUCUUAUAGGAAAAUCCACUUUGUCAAUGUCUCACUGAAAAUUUGGUGUCUAAAAAGGAACAAAAUAUAGGCAGCAUGAGAGUUCACUUAAGUGUUUUAUCAUCCAGCCCACAUUUCUCCAUCUUGUACACACAGAUAUCAUGGGAGACUUUAUAAAAAUGCCUUGCUGAAAUCUUUGCAUGGAUUUACCAUGUUGAAAAGGAAAUUGGGUUAUUUGAUAUAAAACAUACACACAAACACAUGAGCACACAUGGGACAACAUUUACACAUUACAACUUAAAUGUGUAAAAAAAUAGUAUUCUUUAUUUUCCACAAGGGAUCUCAACUUGUCCUCUAUCCCAUAUUCCAUUUGGGAGUGGAAAAAUAAAUCUAAAACUUACCUGUUUUUAGUGUCUUGGUAACUCAGUCUCUUCUGUCUUUAAAUAGUCUGUGUUAGGUGAGCUCAGUGUCUUUUGGAUAAAUAUUUAUUCAAAUUCAGAAUUUGAACUUCUUACCAGAAAGAGCUAUUUCUCUCCUUUCAAAGAUUUGCCCCUCUACCUCCUGUUCCUUAGGAUGUUAUAUGGGUAUCAGCGAGGGGGGCCUCAAGGACGUCAGUGUAGGGUAAAUAGUCUUUGUGCUGUUGUUGGUGUCUUCUCUGGUCAUUGUGGAUAUAUUCCUUAUCUCUUGAUCAUUCAAAGUCCUGCUGGCAUCUGCUGAUGGAGUCUAUGGAAGGGCUCAGUGUAAAACAUCUAUCUGCUAUAAACUGUAGCCCCUUUUCUCACUCUGAAGGGCCCAGGUAAAAUGUACAGGAGAUAGACAAGCUGACAGUGAAAUGGUAAGUAUGUGGGGUUAAGGAUGGGCAGUGAGUUUCAGGUUGUUGACAUGGCAAGCCUUGGGAGCUGUGGCUCAGGCUGCAGGAAGAGCUAUUGCUAAAGCUAGCCCCAGAUCCUGUGGUCCAUUUUAGCUAAGAGUUUAGGGGCUAGGAGCAAGUAGUAUAUAGGAGUGCUUCUGUAAAUCUGUGAUCUCAAUGUGGGACUCUGUUUCCAGUCUCUAGCUUCAGAAAUGCGAGGAUUUCCAUGCAAGUGGUCCUGUGCAAGCUUUCUUUAUGAGAACAAACCAACUGUUGUCAUCACAGAAACAGGGGCAGAGUGGACAGAGCAUAGGCUUGGAUACAGAGCUGGGUUUACUCCUACUGACUUUCUCUUGACCUUGGAAAAGUUACUGGACUUUUCUGAAACCCUGUACAACGGGCAUAAUAAAUGCCUAUCUGAUUAAAGAAAAAGUGUUCAUCAAUAAAUGAAAGCUGUAAUUGUACAUCAUAACAAUAUCUUCUCAGCACAAACACUGUUUUUCUAACAUUCUGAGAUCAGAGCUUGCUUCUUUCACCACUGGUUGGCUUCAUUAAGUAUGACAUUUCCCCCCAGUGCAACCAUUUUUCUUUGAGACAAAUGCCUUUUUUUUCCCCUCAGAGGAAUGUGUUUCUCCCUCUUCCUGACAGAGCCCGGAGGAUCCCUAUGAACAUCCUUCCGCUCUCCCGCCUUGGGAAUCCUAGACCACACUGGCCCCGUAUCACUGCCAUCAUUACUCUGCCCAGGGAGGCCUGGUAGAAACUCCCUUCGUGAUUUGUUGACGUCAAUUCUGAGGAUGUACAAGGUGGAUUAAGAAAAGGCCUCUGAUAGUUUUUACUUUUCAGGGAGCCAAAUGUUUUUCUAAUUAGAAGGAAAAGGAUUUAGCACAGGCAGGCCAGGCCCACAGCUUUGUCAAGGAAGAGACAACAAAACUCUCAUUUUUCCCCCAGGCCCUCUUGUCUUUCCCAUUGGGCCUCACCUUCUUGUCAUGCUUUAAGCCUUUAAGUUUCCUUCUGGAAACUUCUCGGCCAGGGCACUACUCUGUUCUGUAUCCAGACUGUGACUGAGGAUGAGGCAGGCAAGAAGAGCCUGUUUGUGAAGAGCAAGACCGGUUCUAUUCUUGUGGUUGUGUAGGUGGCCUUUCCCCAUCAUGUUCUGGGUGCCUCCUCUAUUUAUUUACUUAAUCUAAUUCCUGCAGCAAGAGUUACAAAACACAAGUGCAUCUCCUUUUCCAACCAGUAUUUGACCCCUAAAAUAUUCUCAUGAGGAGCCCAGCAAACUUGUGCCAAACCUGAGGUUCUUUCGUCCUUAUCAGGGGAAGUGGCUCCAGAUAAUCAUGUACAUCAUGUCUUCUCCAGUGACUGCCCAUUGCCUGGCUAUCUGUGGAGCAUGGGGAGAGCUGUGGCCAAGUGGAAGCUUGGUGGUACCAUCAUAUCUCUCUUGCUGACAGAAUUCUCAAGCUUUUGGAGCCAAGAAGUGGAGUUAGGUGUGAUCCUGGUCUUCCCAGUUUGACUAAACUGGCCUCAAAGAAGCAAUUGCAGUUUUAAAAGUAAGUUCAAGGGCAUCUUGGCCUGGGCUCUCUGUAAUCUAUAAAUAUCUCUAGAAUUCUCUGCAGGUAUGUUUUUCUAGGAGUCCAUGAUUCUACAAUACACUUACUCACUGGCUUGGGGAAAAUGAAGCCAACGUGUGACUAGGGGCAUGCAAUAGAAUCAGAUGACCAGAAGGUGGCACUAGUAGUAUUUAGAAAGUUGCCUCUGCAGUGCAUUAGGUAACUAAUGCAGUGCUUGCUUCCGUCCAACUGGCUAAAAGGGACACAACCGUGUUUUGUUAACACCAUGUUACACAGAGCUUUUUUGGUGGAUUUCUGUUUUUACCCAAACCAUUAUGGCCUACUUUCCUGCCGUGUUAGGAGUGUUACAAUGAAUUCAAAGACCGGAAGGUUUUGUUUGUUGAAAUUUGCUCUAUGUGUUUAUGCUUUCUAUUCUUUGAAGCUUUGACAAAAACAGCCCCCAGUUCUCUGGGAAGUAAGAGAACCCAUUUGUUUAGCAACUGUUCACUCUCAUUGGAAAUGUUCCAGGGGUCUAGAUGCAAGGUUGUUAUUGUCUGUCCUGUCAAGCAUUUUGCUGUCAAGGCUUUUAAUAUUCUUUUUGUGAGUUUAAUGUAAAAAGGCACCAAGUUAAUGCUGCCUUUACAUGACUAAUAGACUGCUUCAUGAAUAAGUAACUCUGUCUAUAUAUUUUUAAUAGGAAAAGAACUUACUUGAAAGGAACUUGAAAGCCACCGAGAAACUUGGGAGAAACUCGACCAGAAGCCUCCCUGACUAUUACUUUGUUUAGCAGAGUAAGGUUUUUCAGAGAAAGUAGUUGGCAGCAGUCCUGGUAAUGGCAACAGAGAAGCCUCUCCUAUUAUCCACUUGCUCUGAGCCUUGGGGAACAAGGAACUGUCAGUCAUGAGAAGAGGUACAGCAGAGGUUGCAAACUUCUGUAAUGAUCCAAAUAGUGAAUAUUUUAGGCUUCGUGGGCCAUUAGGUCUCAGUUGCUGCUGCUCCACUUAGCUUGAAAGCAACUAUCAAUGGUAUAUAAUUGAGUGGGUGUGGCUUUGUUCCAAUAAGACUUUAUAUACAAAAACAGAUGGUAGACUGGAUUUGGCAGAUGAUAUUCACCAAUGGCCCAUAGUUUGCAGACCCCUGAACUAGGGAAAGGGAAACUUAACUUUUCAUAAACUUAGCUUUUCAUUCUCUGUUGUGGACAUUUCCUUUUUGAUCCUCUUGUUUUGCUAGGGUAGCAGCUACAUGUUGUCCAGAUGCAUUUGGCCUUGACCUCAUAGAUUUUCAACUCUUGCAGGAACAAAAGGGGAAGAGCAGGUUCUGUUUCUUUGGCUACUGCAAGUAGGAUAAAUCACUGGCAAAGCAGUGGGCAGUGACCCUUUGUUUUAUCUCCUCCUCCGUUCUCAAAAGUGAGGGUUGUAUUCGGUUAAGUGGAUUCAGGAUAAUCUAGUGGCAUCAUAUUUGGCCAAUACUCAUCCUUUAAGAUAGGGUUUGGCACAAGACAGUUGCUUGGCCAAAUCUGCCCCCCACUUGUGGUAAAUACAGUUUUACUGGGACACAGCCAUGCUCAUUUGCUUACACAUCAUCCAUUCCUGCUUUUGCUUUAAAAUGACAGUUAAGUAGUUUCUACAGAGACUUUACAACCUACAGAGAUUAAGGUAAUAACUAUCUGGCCCUCUAUAAAAAAGUUUGCAGACCUUUACUCUAGAAUAGUAUUUUUCAGACUCGUGAUAGGAAACUAGCUUUUCUUUUCUUUUUAAAAAUCCGUCAAUCCGUCAUGAUGACAUUGUCAUCAUCUGUCCAUGACUGGCAGCAACUUGUCCCACAUGUAACUAACCGCACAUGUGCUGAAAUACCACACUGGUUCAUUCAUUUUGACAGAUGUGAGUCCAUUGCUUCUUGGAUGUGGCCACAUGUCAGUGUCAAUGUCAAUAUCAAAGGACUAUGAAAGUUUUAAAUACUUACAUCCAAUUUCUGUACUCGUCUAGUAGUGGCCAGGAACAGGCAGGCUGCAAAGCAGCAACAUGCUUCUAGGGCAGUGCUACUCGAAGUGCAUCAACCAUAACUUCACUUGAAUAUCUUGUUAAAGUUCAGAUUCUGAUUCAUUCGGUAAGUCUAGGGUAGAGCUUAUCAUUCAGAAUUUCUAACAAACUUCUGGAUGAUAUCGAUGCUACUUGUUCACAGACUAUUCUUUGAGAGGCACUGCUGUAGAGGUAUUUCUAAAGCAGUCAAAUUAGACAUCACUUAUAGCCUCUACUCACAGAAUGGUGCUGAUUCUAUUUGACUGAGGGGGACUGUGUUAACUAGAGAAGUGAAGCAAUCUGCAUUUGCAACCAAGAAUGGAAUGCAGUUGCCAUUAACCAAGGGAUACCUAAGAAAUGUGGACACUCUUGUCCUACCUCAUAAAUAAUAUUUUAACCUGAAAUAAGCUUAUUUUAAUCUGACACCAACUUGCUUGAAACCACAUCAGUAGUGGUAGUGAUUUUAGCUUAUUAAACAUGCAUCGAUCAUAUGAGAAAUACAAAUUGCUCUUUACGUCUCUCCCCCUUCCCACCUCACUUCCUUAGUUUCCUUCUUCCUCUCAUGUUAUUCUGUUAUAUCAAUGUCUUCAGAUCUUCAUUUGGCACUGCAAGAAAUUGGGAAAGAACAUAUCAAACAGACCAUAAAAUCCUUUUUACAAUCUUGUAAUAAUGUGCAAAAAAUUUACUUAAUUUACUGUGUUAUUUGGGGGCACUGUUGUAGCCACAUAUGCCAGUCUUUGGAUUUGCAUUGAGAUUUUUAUCACUAGAGUUGGAUUUUGCCCCUUUCCUGCCCUCCCUUAGCUGCUGUUUAUCAGGAGAUUUUUUGUGUAGUUCAGCUGCUGCUUAUCAGUUUAAACCAUCUGGGCCACUGAUAAGAACAGGAAAAGAGGCUAAUAAGGGAAGCUUAACUUCUUGGGUUGCUUACCAUGAAAAGUUUAUUUAGGAGCCAAAUCUCCUUUUAAAAUCUUCAUUCUGUAUAGUACAUUAAAAAAUGCUGAUGAUGUUUGCUCAUCAGUUUUACAACAAACAUUGCUUUGUUUUUGUAUAUGUACUCUUGCUACAUAGUUUUUCUUUUUCGGAAAUGUUUCCUUUGGAGUUAAUUCGUAAUACAUCAAACCAAAUCAUAGCCAUGUUCUCCUCUAAGAUAAAGUACCAACCUGGGGCAAAGUCUUGUGUAUCAAAUACUUUGUUAGCCUCUCCCUUCUUAUAGUACCUUGGCCUCUCUCUAUUGUUUGCCGGAGACAACAUUAAAACUCUUCACUGAUAAUUUGGUCAAUGUUGGAGUUAUAUCACAAUGGCAUUUGAGAUGAGGGAUUCUAAACUACUGACAAAGCACAACUGUGUUUUUUUGUGAUGCUUUGUGUGUUGAACAAGUUACCCAAGGUGGUGAGGAUCAAAACAUAACAUCCUUGUUGCUUAAAAUCAGAAUAUUUCAUUCUUCAGAAAUCCAGAAACUUGUCAAGAUCAAAUACAUUUCCAUAGGCUAAGAUCUUAAAUUUAACUAACAAGAGAGAAAAAGAAGGCACCCAUUACUCAACACACACACAUUUUUUUUUUCUCCUUUCCAGCCAUGAAAUGUGAUCUCCUUCCUUCUGUAUGCUCUUGUCAUCAGCUGCAGGGCCAUCCACCCAAGCCUUCUCCAUACAUUUCAACCUGUUCCUGUCCUUCCUUCCACUCCCUCCAUUCAGAUGCUUUCCAUCAUCUUGUGUCUUGACCUCUGACACAGCUCCUAAACUGUGUCAACUUCCUAAAGCCUUAUUCUUCCUGUGUCCAUCUGCCUGGAACUCAAAAGCCCAUAUAUCAUUUUUAUUUCUGAGACUUAUCGUCACCAAAGGGGUGACGUUUCUUCACCUCUGCCUGCUCUGUCAGACCCUCUGUUUUCAGUCUCCUUGCUUCUCCCUUCCCACCUCCCACCACUCCCUGCAUUGCCCUUAACACUUUAGUCGUAUGGAAAUAGGUGUAGUUUUCAGAAACAUCAUGCUGUUUCACACCUGAGCCAUUGGUCAUGGUUUCUCAUCUGCCUAUAAAAUCUCUCCCUGUAGUUUUCAGCCAGAGGCCCUUUGCCCUGCUGGGAGAUUGUUGACAAUGUCCGCAGACAUUUUUGGUUGUCAUAACUUGGGGAGGAAUGUCUUCUAGCAGGGAGAGAUCAGGGAUGUAUGAACAGCCUCCCACAAUAAGAAUUAUCUGGCCUAGAUAUUUGUAGUGCCCAGGUUGAGAAACCUUGUUCUUCCCCUACCUUUCCAAUAGGAUAAAUUCUGUUUUCCAGUUAUGAAUAUUCCGGUUAUGAAUAUUUCCAGUUAUGAAUAUUCUCUUUUCUAGGAAAUUGUCCUUGAUCCUUCCUGUCUUAGCCUUGGUAAAGUGCCCUUCCACUGUGUUUUGGAAGUGUUCUCUAUGUAUACCUGUACUGUCACCUCACAGAUGAUAUAUUGUUAUAAUUUUAAUUAUAAUUUUACUUUGUUUCAUUUUUAAUAAAUGUAAUACAGAUGCAACAAACAGGCUUUCAGGUAGUGCCAGGAUGAUGGCUAAUUCUCACAUUCUUGAUUCAGAGCAAAGCCAACAGGUGGCUCAACUACCUCCCCUCAGGCUUAAGAUAGAAAAAAAUUCAGAAACCAGCUCAAUACCAACCACCCUCCCUCCACAGAGUUAGCACUCAGCGAAGACAGGCUAUUCCCUGACUCACAUUUCUGUGGAGGAGAUGUUUCUUUUUCCAAAGCCAAGUAGAUGUCUCGGAAAAUUCUUUUUUUUUUUUUUUUUUUUUUUUUUAAAGGGAAACCUGUGAAAACGGUGACUGCCAUUUUUAUUCCUUUUUUGAAUGUCCACUUUGCCAAAGAAUUAGGGCAAUCAGAUGAGGAGAGUGAGCUUUUACUAGGGGAUGAUGUUGAAGCCACCAUCUGUCCACACCAGCCACCCAGAGAGCACAUACAAUGAGCAAGAACAACUACCACCAAUGUCAGGUAGGACUGUGACCUGGCCCGGUCAGGAGAGCAUUUCUUAUUCUUUUCCUGUUACGUCAACCCCACUCUGACAGGGAAGGAAGCAGUGGUGGGUGGAGGGAGGGGAGAGGAGAGAUGUGAAAGUCAGACCAUGAAGCCCAGGUGUCUGUCUCAGGCCAGUCAAGUCAGAGCUGUGUCCUAUGCCUGGGGUUAGGGUGGGUAAGAGAGAUGAGAUUAGAAUGAAAUGUAAUACUGAAGUUUUAAAAAUAAGUAGGGCUGAGUCUUAGGAAAUAAAAAGAUACUGUUUGUAUAAGUCAGAGUGUCUGAAAACUUACAGAAGUGGGUCAAGAGGAUAUUAAGAAAGGCGUUACUUAUUUAAGACAUCUAGGAAUAGUUACUGGCAAAAAAGUCAUGUUUAUAUCCUAAUGAGUUGACAUUCCUAAAUAAGCUGGUUAUAUAUAUCCAUGAUAAAAAUUUCAAGCAGUACAGAAAAAGAUAAUAAUUAUAUAAUAAUUAUAGUCUAUUUUUCAACACAACAUUGAAGGUCCUUGGGUCCUUUAUUCUUCUUGGAGGCCAUUCUUCACUACAGAUGCGUGUCAUGAAGUUUGGAGCAUCUUGAGUGCCUUCUGCAUUGUGGAAGAUGCUGUCAUUUUUGAAAGCCUACUGCAGGCCUGGGAUGUGAGGUGACAGAGAGGUCGGGACCAGUGCCAUUCUGUACUGGCGCUCAGAAGGAAAGGGACAAAACUACCUUGCCUGUCCCAGCCCUUGUCCCCUGUCUCCACCAGACCCACACAACUCACUCUAAUGUCAAUAUAUAAAGCUCUUUUUUGAAGGGUUGAGUAUUCCAAGAAAGACUUGCUAAAGGUAUAAAUUUUAGUUAACUUAGAAGUUGUCUUAUAUUCCACAAGGGAAGGCAUUUCAAACUUAAGACCUGUGUAUCUUGUGCCACUCUUCAUGCCACACACACACACACACACACACACACACACACACACACGCGUGCGCGCGCACACCUCAUCUGUGGGUUUCUUGGUCCGAGAAGACAGCUCCAUUUCUUUCCAUGGGAGACUUCUCUCCUAGGUUCCUUUUGGCUUCUCACAAUGUGAGGAAUGUCUCAGACCGCAUGCUUUGGACCUUUGCCUUUCUUCUCUGCCCUUCACAGUCUAUGAAGGCAAAGGGGCUGUAUCCUCCUGCCCCAGUAAAGCUGAUGACCUACCCAAUUUGCAGAGCCUAGUAUGAAAUAAUAUGGGACAUUGUGUCAAAAAAAUUCUCAGGAAUUUAAAGAUGGUGACGACAGGCACUAUGUCAAACACCGGGGCCCUUCUGAGCAUGGGGCACCGUGAUGGGGCCUUGCCCUCUGUGAGAACAGGAGCCCAGCCUCUGACUUUACUGGGUCACCUCUGAAGGGAGCAGAACUUUCAAAGCCAUGAAUUAAUUUCCCUCAGAUGUCAUGUAGUCAUGUACAUUUCCAGGAAAGAGCAUUUCCCUGCUGGCCUGACCCUGGCUCUGCCCUCCAUGAACAAUACGAGACCUGCAAUGCUGUGUGGUGUGUGUGACUCUUCACCAUCUGCCAAGCUCGAGAGCAACCCAAAGGGAAGGACCCACACGCUGGCUUUCCCUGCUCCUCUCUUGCUCAGAAAAUGCACUGUUAGCAGCUGGUUUACCUUGAUUCAAUCUACCUCUGUUAGAAGAAGGGAGGAAGGCGUUUCUAUUCCUUCUCUCUCUCUCUCUUUUUUUUUUUUUUUUGGUAGUAAAAUAUACAUAACACAAAAUUAGCCAUUAGCCAUCUUAACUACAUUUAAGUAUCCAGCUCAAGGGCAUGAAGGAUAUUCAUACUGUGGUGAAGGCAUCACAAUUACCCAUUUUUAAAACUUUUUCAUCAUUUCAAGUCUCAGUUCUUUUAUUGCGUCUGUUUCCCCAAACCACAAGCCCCUGGAUGGCUGAGAACAUGACUUACCCUUUUUUGAAUUUCUCUGACCUUUCAUAAUGUAGAUACUCAAUACACUUACUAAACUGCAUUUAAAUUCAGUAGCAGGAAAGAGAAAAGAAAGAUGUUGUAGUUUUACCCAUGGAAAUGACAGGAAGCCUAUGGUACAGUUAAUAGUGCUCGUUCCUCUUAUUGAUGCCACCACUUCUGUUCCCAGGAAGUAAUGCAGAUAGGUUAUUUCAUAUAUAAGUUGUUAUGUCCUUUAUGGUUUCCUGCUGGCUUUUAAUUGUCGAACAUCCAGGAUUUUCCUAUAAAUUGAGUAACAUGCUGCUAACAUGGAAAGCUGUGCCUUAAAUCUUUCUGUGAAGGGAAAAAAAAAAAAAAAAAACCCAG